GAGGUACUCCCUCCGUCCCAAAAUUCCUGUCUUAGAUUUGUCUAAAUACAGAUGUAUCAAGUCACGUUUUAGUAUUAGGUACAUCCGUAUCUAGACAAAUGUAAGACAAGAAUUUUGGGACGGAGGGACUACCAC
rnacentral:pre_miRNA from 1 species